CCUACGGGUGGCAGCAGUGGGGAAUAUUGGGCAAUGGGCGCAAGCCUGACCCAGCAACGCCGCGUGAAGGAAGAAGGCUUUCGGGUUGUAAACUUCUUUUGUCAGGGACGAAGCAAGUGACGGUACCUGACGAAUAAGCCACGGCUAACUACGUGCCAGCAGCCGCGGUAAUACGUAGGUGGCAAGCGUUAUCCGGAUUUAUUGGGUGUAAAGGGCGGGUAGGCGGGAAUGCAAGUCAGAUGUGAAAACUAUGGGCUCAACCCAUAGCGUGCAUUUGAAACUGGAUUUCUUGAGUGCUGGAGAGGCAAUCGGAAUUCCGUGUGUAGCGGUGAAAUGCGUAGAGAUACGGAGGAACACCAGUGGCGAAGGCGGAUUGCUGGACAGUAACUGACGCUGAGGCGCGAAAGCGUGGGGAGCAAACAGGAUUAGAUACCCGGGUAGUC
rnacentral:rRNA from 1 species